ensembl:lncRNA
CGGGCCAACCUCGGGCUUAACGGCCCACCCUCGGGCUUACCAGCCCUCCCAAACCAGGUGGGGCCCCACAAACGCUUCCCUACCCAGUGCGGGGCGGAGAAGCGGGGUCCAUAUGGCAGGUGAAGACGAGAAUCCACUCUGGAGCCGGAUUUGCCUUCUGCAGAAUGCAGACUAGCUGAAUCAUCAGCCCCAUCGCCCAAGGCAGGCAAAACAAGUGGAAUUCUUCAAAGACCAUACCUGGAUGGGGAAAUCCUCGGGGAAGGCCGGGGAACCCUGGGACAUCUUCCGCGAGGUGCAGGCCCUACCAGGCCUCGGGAGGAGGCAGGCCAAGUCGAUGACACUCAUUCUCCUGCAUUCUGACGUUUCCAGCAUGAAGAAGGUGUCCCUGGCGCUUCCGGUCCCAGGGACGCCCAGCAGAUUCUGAAAUCCCAGUUCCCUGGCAGAAUCCACACAGGAGGUACAGUAUGAAGUUGUCAGAGUCUCAGGAAACAUUUCCUCCUCCUCGGAAAGAUUGGAUUUAACCAUGGGAACAGAUAUUUACUCUGAACUUCAACAGCUUUAAAGAAAUGUAGAAGAACCCCAAACAGGGCAAUGACACACAUGCUGGUGCCACAUGGCUGAAAUCCCAGAGCUCCCAGAGGCUCGGACAGAGGUUCAUAGUUUUGAGCCCAACCCUGGCAAUUCAAUAAUUUAGUGAACCUUGUCUCAAAAUAAAAAAUUUAAGGGGCCAGGGAUUUAGCUCAGUGGUGCUGCCACCUGCCUUGCAAGCCCAAGGUCCCGAGUUCGAUCCCAGGUACCAAAAAAAAAAUUUAAAAAGGGCUGAGAGAUACCUCAGUGCAAAGGCCCUGUAUUCAACCUUCAAUGCCAUAAACAAACAGUUAAAUAAAAUCUAUGGCUUUAUA